UCAAGCUAGAAAGAGCGCAAGGGGAAUGCCUUGGCAUCAGGAGCCGAUGAAGGACGCGACAAGCUGCGAUAAGCUUCGGGUAGCUGCAAAUAAGCAAUGAUCCGGAGAUUUCCGAAUGGGGCAACCCGGCACGGCAAUACCGUGUCAGCGUGCACUGAAUCAAAUAGGUGUACGUGGGGAACCGCCUGAACUGAAACAUCUAAGUAGGGCGAGGAAAAGACAUCAACCGAGAUUCCGCAAGUAGUGGCGAGCGAACGCGGAGUAGGCCAAACCAGAGGUCAUUGAUCUCUGGGGUAAGGACUUGCAUCACGAUCAGAGGUAUCUAGUCGAAUGGCGUGGGAAAGCCAACCACAGAGGGUGAGAGUCCCGUAGACGAAAGAGAAGACUGACAGCGAGUAUCCAGAGUACCGCCGGACACGUGAAACCCGGUGGGAACAUGGGAGGACCACCUUCCAAGCCUAAAUACUACCUGAUGACCGAUAGAGAAGCAGUACCGUGAGGGAAAGGUGAAAAGAACCCCGGGAGGGGAGUGAAAUAGUACCUGAAACCUUGUGCUUACAAGCAGUCAGAGCACGUUAAAGUGUGAUGGCGUACCUUUUGUAGAAUGGUCCGGCGAGUUAUAGUCACUGGCGAGGUUAAGCAAUUCAGUUGUGGAGCCGAAGGGAAACCGAGUCUUAAUAGGGCGUCGAGUCAGUGGCCAUAGACCUGAAACCGGGUGACCUAUCCAUGAGCAGGUUGAAGUUGGUGUAAAAGCCAAUGGAGGACCGAACCCACGUUCGUUGCAAUGACCGGGGAUGACUUGUGGAUAGCGGAGAAAUUCCAAUCGAACUCGGAGAUAGCUGGUUCUCCCCGAAAUAGCUUUAGGGCUAGCGUUGUGUUAGUUUACCGGAGGUAGAGCACUGAAUUGGCUAAGGGGCGAUGAGCUUACUGAACCUUAUCAAACUUCGAAUGCCGGAUAAAUGGUGCACAGCAGUCAGACAGUGUGAGAUAAGUUUCAUUGUCAAGAGGGAAACAGCCCAGACCCACAGCUAAGGUCCCAAAUGAACGCUAAGUGGAAAACGAUGUGGGGUUGCAAAAACAACCAGGAUGUUGGCUUAGAGGCAGCCACUCAUUAAAAGAGUGCGUAAUAGCUCACUGGUCGAGUGACCCUGCGCGGAAAAUAUAACGGGGCUAAGCGUCCAACCGAAGCUUGGGAUGUCUAAGGACAUGGUAGGGGAGCGUCGUGUAUAGGGAGAAGCAUGAGCGAGAGCACAUGUGGACAGUACACGAGUGAGAAUGCCGGAAUGAGUAGCGAGAAUUAUGUGGGAAUCAUAAUGGCCGAAAAUCUAAGGUUUCUUGGGGAAGGUUCGUCCGCCCAAGGUAAGCCGGGAGCUAAGGCGAGGCCGAAAGGCGUAGUCGAUGCACAUACGGUUGAAAUUCCGUAGCCGCCGAAAUUGUUAAGCACAGGGACACAUAGAGAUAUCCGAACCCGGGCGUUGGUUGACCCGGGCGCAAGGGACCGAACAUCAGUAGGGAAGUCGGAGAUGCUCUGUGGCGAGAAAAGCUGUGUGUAUUGAUUAGGCGCCCGUACCGCAAACCGACACAGGUAGAUGAGGAGAGAAUCCUAAGGCCAACGGGAGAAGGGUUGUUAAGGAACUCGGCAAAUUGACCCCGUAACUUCGGGAUAAGGGGAGCCUCCUACGGGAGGCCGCAGUGAAUAGGCCCAAGCAACUGUUUACCAAAAACACAGGUCUCUGCUAAAUCGAAAGAUGACGUAUAGGGGCUGACGCCUGCCCGGUGCCGGAAGGUUAAGAGGAGAGCUUAGCGCAAGCGAAGGUUCGAAUUGAAGCCCCGGUAAACGGCGGCCGUAACUAUAACGGUCCUAAGGUAGCGAAAUUCCUUGUCAGGU
rnacentral:rRNA from 1 species